CGUAGGGUGCAAGCGUUAAUCGGAAUUACUGGGCGUAAAGCGUGCGCAGGCGGUUGUGCAAGACAGAUGUGAAAUCCCCGGGCGUCAACCUGGGAACUGCAUUUGUUGACUGCACAGCUUGAGUGCGGCAGAGGGGGAUGGAAUUCCGCGUGUAGCAGUGAAAUGCGUAGAUAUGCGGAGGACACCGAUGGCGAAGGCAAUCCCCUGGGCCUGCACUGACGCUCAUGCACGAAAGCGUGGGAGCAAACAGGAUU
rnacentral:rRNA from 1 species